AAAAAAGCAGAGGCUCGUUGCCUUCAUGAGCGGGCCUCUCGUAAACAUCAGGGAAACCACUUACAUUGUUAUUGGGUGAACCUCUGUUAUUUUGGUGACAGAAGGUUCAGUAAAUGAUGGUACAUCA